rnacentral:snoRNA from 1 species
UGCCUUUAUGUGUUGCCCUUUCAUUCUUUGUGUAAUGACUGGGGUGUCAAACAAGGCAUACAGUGACUCUUGUGACUGUCUGUUAAAUGAGUUUCAUUUUUCUCCUUUAUGCAAACAGCUGCAAGAACACAG